AUAAAACAUGUUUUUAAUACUUAUGAUUUUAACAAUUAUAACUAAAUAUUCUGCGUGGUGACCAAGUCACAAGUCACAGUUAAGCAUUUUACAUAUGCAUGAAAUAUGAAUGAUUGUUUUGCAUACAUAAAACGCAAACAUUAUGACAUUAUAUGUAGUUGUUUUUAUUUGAAUCAGGCAAAAUAUGAGUAUGACUACUUUAAUGCGAUUUUAAUGAUGUUUAUAUACAUUGCAAAAUUAAGUCAUUUCGGCUUAUUUUUACAUGAUGAUUGUUUGAUCAUUUUUGCACCCAAAAAUAAUAUAUUGUAGAAGACAUUUUGUAUUUAUAAUCAAAUGCAAAUUGUAGCUAUUUUUAAUCGUAUCAUUUUUGCAUACAAUGAAAUAACUACAAUAUUAUAUAUUGUCACAAGAUAACUGAAAUCGUAUACACAGAAUAAGAAAUCUUACAAUGUUUUGCAUAGCCAUAAAAUGCGAAAUGAAGCCUAUCCAUUCUAUAAAUAGCUAUUUCGUGAAAUCAUUUCUAUUCAUAGUGCACAAAUUAAGACAUUCAGUGCUUAUUUUGUAUUUAUUAUACAAUAAUAAUGAUAAAAAGAUAUAUUUUGCAUACAUAAAAUGCAAGCUUUUUCUCCUAAAAGAGACUUUUUUUUAUCAACUUUACAUUGCCAUUGAUUGUCGUCUGCUGUUGCUUAACUUGUACUUCAGGCUCCACUGAACGACCUGUUGGCAGCUGUCCACUAAACAAAAUGCAGUCAGAAACCUCAGCAAACGAACAGAGAAACGCACUCAUUCGCUCCAAAGUCUUCCAUUUACUGCAUUUCAAUGUCGCAACAUGCACAACAAGGCGUCCAGACAAACUUUGCAGAAGUUCUGAGGUAACGUGCAGGAAAACGCAUAAGGAGAAUUGCAGCCAGCAACAGAAGUCCGAUAUACUGCAUGGUGUGUGAGCUUGUCAUGCUGACCAUUGCGUGUGUUACUGCAGCUCGAGACAAAAGCUGGGGCAGAAUUCCUUCUCUCUUCAUAUGAAAAAGCAUGGAGGCGGGGCAGCGCUUGACUAUCAAGGAAACAAAGUGCAAGAUUUGCUUUCCUGUAAAGAUAAUGCAUGUUUUUCCAAACCCUAGGGGUUUCUUCCAUGGAACACAAAUGAAGAUAUUUGGCAGAAUGACAAGCCUUAAUCACUGUUCACUUGUAUUGUAAAGAUGUCUGUUUGGGUUUCAUGGGAAUAAAGGGAAGAUAUAUACAGAUUUGAAACAUCAGGGUGAAUAAAUAGUGACAGAAUUUUGUCUCUAAAUUCAUAUCAUAUUUGACACAUACAUUUAUAAGGCCUCUAAAUUAUCAACAAGCUCGAAAUUCUGCAGUUGUACAUGGUCCUUCUGCUCUUUGAUUUAUAGUUUACUUUAUUAAUCUUUUUUUCAUACAUCAUACUUGUUUAUCCUUUUAGUACAAAAAGUCCACCUUCAUGUUGUGGUACACGUCUUACUCCUUUUGCUGUUAAAUCUUUAAUGGUUUUUAUAAAGUAAGUGUAAGAAUAACUUAUGGUAGUAAUAUUUCAAGAUGAACAUUUAUUGGUCUGAAGCAACGUGUGUUUACUUGAUUAUCCAUACAUCUUUUUUCCUUUUAGAAACAAUUGUGUUAAAAUAAAAAAUGGCUUUUGAGGAACAUUUGUUUGUCCAUCUCUCAAUCAACCAGGGUUGCCAGGUUUUUGUAACAAAACCAGCCCAACUGCUAUUCUAAACCUGCCCAAUCACCAGUGCUGCCAAUUUAGCGAUUUUGUCGCUACACUUAGCGACUUCCCUGCCCCUUUUGAGACUUUUUUCAACAGCCUAGUGACAAAUCUAGCAACUUCUUGGACAAACCUUAUCUAGAUUCCGUGACUCACAUUUACUGAUCUAUAUUUAUAUUAAUAUCGAUCAGUGGACUCGCCAGUAUGAAGUCAUCUGGCAACAUUUAGCGACCAGAUUUUGCUACUUUCAGCUGUAGGCAAAUGGCUUCAAUGCCAAUCACGGCCAAAACUAGCCCAAUCGGGGGUCCUUUCAACCCUUGGCAAAAGUAGCCCAAUUCUGCAGGACUUGGCAACACUGCAAUCAACAUUGUAUUGCUUUGCAUUAUAUAUUUUUUCCACCAAAAUUAAAACUACAGAGCUUUGAUCAUAAGCAUUUAAAUAUCAUAAUACUAAAGCCCGGAACACACCAAGCCGACGUUUUUGUUUUUGUUCAUCGGCCGACUAAGUUUUCUCAGUGCGUUCCACACCGUUGGCUGAAGUUAGUCCUUUUUUUCAGCUGAUUCGACAUUUUGAAUCGGCGUUAGAGCUUGUCGGUCAGUUGGGCCAUCCUAUCAUUCUGAUUGGCUAUUCAGCUACUGCCACCUGGUGGCACACAAAGGCAUUUCUUCUUACGCAGGCGUAGAACGGACGUGCUACUUGACCGUCGGGUGUCGAGCGUCGGUUUGGUGUGUCAGGACAACUUUGGACCCAGACACUGCCGACGUGAGCCAACCCCGCAGUCUGCUUUCGUCGCCACUAGUUCGUCGCCAUCGGCUUGGUGUGUUCCGGGCUUAAGACAUGUUAUUUGGAGAUACCAAGUUACAACUGAUAAUUAUAUGCAUUUUAUGUAAGUCGUGCUAUAUUGUUACCAAAAUCUAAUUGAAUUUACAAGCUAUCUUUUUGGCCAUAUAAAUAACAACAUCUGCACCAAACUGUAUAUUUUGCUCAGUUUGGGUAGCUGGUUUAUAACUGGCCUAAGUUUAUCAUCAUUGGCUGGUCCAAGUUGGCUAUAAGUUUGUCUAAAUUGGAAGAACAUCUUGGACUAGAACUUGAACUAAUGUCCAACUUGCAUCAGCUAAUGACCAGCUAGAAACCAGCAAAACUUCCAAAACACAGGGUUUAAAUGAAUUAGUUGU